AUAGGCCAGGGCAACGCCAUACGAGCUAAAAGAUGAGUGACUUUAUUCUGGAGGACAUGGCAGGGCUGGUCAGCCAAGUUUCUGAGUUGAAUGACCUGAUCAGGACUUGAAGAAGAUUUGAAAUGUCCCCAGGAAGUGCUGCUGAGUUGCAGAUGUGGUGACAACCCUCAUCAGACCCAGAGGACGAUCUGGGCCGUGGUGAGCCUGAAGUCAGUUUCUGGUUCCAGGGUGGGUCGGCACACCAUAGGACAGAUGGUCAGGAUCAGUUUGGCCCCUACUCUUUUCUGGGCAAUAAUAAUGUAACGGACAUUUCAUCAGCAGCAAGGCAUGCUGGGUGAAUGAUUGCUGUGUGAUAUUAAAGUUUUUAUAAAAGGAGUUCCCAUCGUGGCUCAGUGGGUUAAAAACCUGACAUAGUCUCCGUGAGUAUGCUGGUUUGAUCCCUGGCCUCGCUCCGUGAGUUAAGGAUCCCGCAUUGCCUGCAAACCGUGAUGUGGAUCACCGACUUGGAUGGGAUCCCACGUUACUGUGGCUGUGGUGUAGGCUGGCAGCUGCAGCUCCGAUUCAGCCUGGGAACUUCCAUAUGCCACAGACUUUCUUCCUCCUUCUCAGAGCGAGGAUUGCCUGGUUCCCUGGUUUUAAGAUAGAGCACCGCCACCUCGGCGUCUUAAAGAACAUGGCACCCAUGAUCUCACACGACCGUCCAACAGUUGGAGGAGGGAGCAGGCAAAAGUGCUUAAGUGACUGUCAGAACAGGGACAGUACAAAAGAAAUACAAUAACUAGGUCCUACCAGCGAAUACAAAUUUUCUGCCUGUUCAUGCCAACCUCAUCCCAGAAUCGUGGCCUGCAUCGUAGAAACCAAAACCAUCUGAUAGUCAGUCACAUGUCAGGCAGGAGCGCGUGUCUUUUCCGAAGCCCCCCCUGCCCUUACGUGAUCAUCGUUCCACUGUUUCUGAAAGUGUGCAACAUUACCUUUGGAAGGACAGUGGUCACGCUGGAAGAUUUAUUGAGGAGUCUUCCACGGAAACAGCUACGAGAGAAAAAAAGCCUUUGAUUUUGGACUGAUGGAUUUUUCUACUCCGAGGUAAUGGGUCAAAGAUGGACUUUCCUCCAAGAAAUCUCAUUGAAACAUUUGAUUUUCUUCCCUUUCAGACUCUGAAGGAGACAGUGAUUCAUGUUUACCUUGCUUUUAUGGUUAUGAUGGAUCGCUGAGUUCCGCCAACAUUCAAGACAGAUGCACAGAGCUCUAGGAAGCCUGUUUUUGUUUAUAUAUGAUUUCCAAAUAUUAACCCAGACAGAAAAAAAAAAUGCAUGCGGUAUGUGUUUAUAGCAAAUGUCAUUUCCACGUGUCCCAUGCACAGCUUCAGGAAAGGAGGAAAUAAAUCUGAAUAUGGACUAGCCCGGGGCUCAUCCCGUGAAUAGGCUGCGGCCUGCAUGGAGUGAUUUCAAAGUCACUGAAAAAUACCUCUCUAUCCUCAACUUGCUCUCCAACAGUAUUUAGCCAUACCCAAGCUAAUCCUGCCAAUGUAAUCUCCUGACCCGUCUAAGGAGGAGAUGGAGGGAAGUUCUGAGUUUGUCGAGCUGAGACCUGAUUCAGCGAUGUCAUAAAACAUUUGAAGCGGCUUGAUGAAACCGUAGCGUUAUCCCGGACUGGAUGGGACAUUAUGAUGGAAAACGCUGGCCUGACCCCUCGCGUGUCUGACUUAGGGGGCAACGAGUGCCUUCUGAAGUACAAGAGUCAUCAUCCAUGUGGAAGUGAAAGCUGGUGUUUCAUUAGGAGAUGGCCUUGCAAAUACCUUGCUUGCCAAGUGCACAAAAUUGGCUAGAAAGCAAAACGGGGUUGCGACACACCAUGUUUAGAGAAAUUGUUGAAGUGUAGCAAAUUUCCCCCAUUCUAAAAUCAUAAUAAUUUGCAGAGCGGAAAUUGUGGUCUAAGAGGAAUCUAUUUGGAAAAAAAAAAAAAAAAAAGCUGGGCAUUAAAAAUAACUCCUAAUCACUCCCUGUCAAGUCUUAUGGAGCCAAGUUUGGACCCAAUAAAACUUGGUACACCAUUCUAAUGAGAUCCAGAUGCUCAAUCCAAUACGUGAGACCAUAGAGAUCAAGAGAAAGCCUUUGCUCAGCUGGAUCCCACAUCAAUGACAGUGUGAACUUUUGGCUGUUCAAAACUUCCGGGGGGCGGGAGGGAAUGUCACAGGCCAUGUAUUGUCACAGGCCAUGUAUUCUAGACAACAAUAACAACGACCACUUCAGAUGGGCUUAUUUGUUGUCCAAGUGCCUGCCGAGUUGUAUUCCGUAUGCCUGUACAGAUGCGAACAACAUCCAACAUCGUCCUGUCUCUUGGUUAUCAUGUAGUGGACUUGCCAAGGGUACAACAAUAGGAAAAAUUUGCAUCUGACGACUCUGCUAACGACAUGCAGCUUGACCUCAUUUUAUAGACUUGAUUUGCUUUCAAUUAUUUUCGCAAAAUAAAGUUCUUUGCCUUACAUUCCUAGUAAUUGCACGAGUCAAUUUGACGCAUUUCUCUCUCUCCAAACAACAUGGUACAUUU